rnacentral:rRNA from 1 species
CAUAAUGGAUUGAAACAGGUACUUAAUACCUGAAUACAUAGGGUUUUAAGAGCAAACCCGGGGAACUGAAACAUCUAAGUACCCGGAGGAAAGGACAUCAAUAGAGACUCUGUUAGUAGCGGCGAGCGAACGCGGACCAGCCGAGGUCUGAGAGUGACCAAAACAAUUUGGAAUGAUUGACCAUAGUGGGUGAUAGUCCCGUAUGGGAAGCUCGAUGACACGUAUUAAGUAGGGCGGGACACGUGAAAUCCUGUCUGAAGAUCGGAGGACCACCUCCGAAGGCUAAGUACUCCUUACUGACCGAUAGUGAACCAGUACCGUGAGGGAAAGGUGAAAAGCACCCCGACGAGGGGAGUGAAACAGUACCUGAAACCGAACGCCUACAAUCAGUUGGAGGGGCCUUGAGCCCUGACAGCGUACCUUUUGUAUAAUGGGUCAUCGACUUGGUCUAUCUAGCAAGCUUAAGCCGUUAGGUGUAGGCGCAGCGAAAGCGAGUCUUAAUAGGGCGAAUGAGUUAGAUGGAUCAGACCCGAAACCGAGUGAUCUAGGCAUGGCCAGGCUGAAGAUAAGGUAACACUUAUUGGAGGGCCGAACCCACAUCCGUUGAAAAGGAUCGGGAUGAGCUGUGCCUAGGGGUGAAAGGCCAAUCAAACUCGGAGAUAGCUGGUUCUCCGCGAAAUCUAUUUAGGUAGAGCGUCAUCCGAAU